UAAGGAAUAUUGGUCAAUGGACGCAAGUCUGAACCAGCCAUGCCGCGUGGAGGAUGAAGGUCCUCUGGAUUGUAAACUUCUUUUAUCUGGGACGAAACACUUCUUUUCUAAGAGGCCUGACGGUACCAGAUGAAUAAGCACCGGCUAACUUCGUGCCAGCAGCCGCGGUAAUACGAAGGAUGCAAGCGUUAUCCGGAAUUAUUGGGUUUAAAGGGUGCGUAGGCGGACUAAUAAGUCAGUGGUGAAAGCCUGCAGCUUAACUGCAGAAUUGCCAUUGAUACUGUUAGUCUUGAGUACAGUUGAGGUAGGCGGAAUGUGUCAUGUAGCGGUGAAAUGCUUAGAUAUGACACAGAACACCGAUUGCGAAGGCAGCUUGCUAAGCUGUAACUGACGCUGAGGCACGAAAGCGUGGGGAGCAAACA
rnacentral:rRNA from 1 species